rnacentral:snRNA from 7 species
AUCUUUGCGCUUGGGGCAAUGACGUAGCUAGUGAGGUUCUAACCGAGGCGCGUCUAUUGCUGGUUGAAAACUAUUUCUAAACCCCCUCUUAGGCUUGAGUUUAACUCAAGCCUUUGAGAAUUUCUGGAAGGACUCCUUCGGGGUAAAGUC